UGCCGUGGACGACCGCGGCAUGCAUUUCCCCGUGGCGGGACGGCCCGC
rnacentral:ncRNA from 1 species